AUUUAUCCAGUUUAAAGUCUCAUUUGAAAUCUCAUAUCGGAGAGGGCAGGGCAGUUUCUUGUCCAUUUCGUCAGUGUGGGAGAACGUUUUCAGUCGUCUCUUCCUUUAUUUCUAAUUUUUCCACAGUACACAAGUCUUGUACAGUAUCCAGUCUUAUGGGCCAUGUAACAGUAGGAACAAAGACGAGACUAACGGCAACCAAUGAACAAGUUGAGGAUGUUUCAGUGUUGGAGGGGGAUUUGACUGACGACGUAACGUGAAAAGAAAACAAUUGCAUCAUACAAAGACAGCGUGCAGCACAGCAUGCAGCAUAACAUCGCACACUUCAAUCUCUUUCCUUGGGAUCUUGGUAAGUUAAAUGUUAAAUUUGCUAAAGUAUCGUAACUGUAGCAGCAACACGUGUGCUAUUGACUCUGUGUUUCCUUGAAAAUAGCAUUAGCCACACGUGGCGUUUAAUAUUUUUCAGUUUGCACACUUCAGUUUCUUCCUUUGGGAUUUCAGCGAGUUUAAAUUUGAAAUUUAGCUAAAAUAUCGCCAUUGUAGCAGCAACACGUGUGUUAUUAACUCCGUGUUUCCUUGAAAAUAGCAUUAGCCACACGUGGUAUGUAUAGCUAUUGAGUUUCUCUCAUAUAAAGUUGAAUGUUGCUAUUUGAAAGCGUGAAUCGCACUGUUAUUGUAUCAUACGUGUAUGAAUGUGCUAUGUAACAUGUGUAUGAAUGUGCCAUGUAAUAACCUUGUGUUAAUUUUAAGUAGGCUAUAGCUCAUUCAAGGUGGCUAUUAGUUGAGCCUAUGCACUUAAAUGAAGUUAGCUAAUGCAGUACUGUU